rnacentral:rRNA from 1 species
CCUACGGGUGGCAGCAGUGGGGAAUCUUGCACAAUGGGCGAAAGCCUGAUGCAGCAACGCCGCGUGAGCGAAGAAGGCCUUUGGGUCGUAAAGCUCUGUCCUAAGGGAAUAAGGAAGUGACGGUACCUUAGGAGGAAGCUCCGGCUAACUACGUGCCAGCAGCCGCGGUAAUAAGUAGGGGGCAAGCGUUAUCAGGAAUUAUUGGGCGUAAAGAGUACGUAGGCGGUUCUUUAAGCGUAGGGUCUAAGGCGAUGGCUUAACCAUCGUUCGCCCUGUGAACUGGAGGACUUGAGUAUCGGAGAGGAAGGCGGAAUUCCUAGUGUAGCGGUGAAAUGCGUAGAUAUUAGGAGGAACACCAGUGGCGAAGGCAGCCUACUAAACUGCCACUGACAUUGAUGCUCGAAAGUGUGGGUAUCAAACAGGAUUAGAUACCCGUGUAGUC